GCACCUGUAGCUCAGCGGCUAGAGUGCCAGCCAUUUACACUGGAGCCGGGGGUUCAAAUCCUGCCCGGGGCC
rnacentral:tRNA from 1 species